AGCAGCCGCGGUAAUUCCAGCUCCAAUAGCGUAUAUUAAAGUUGUUGCAGUUAAAAAGCUCGUAGUUGAAUUUCGGGAUUGGCGCAUCGGUCGUGCCUCACGGGGUAUGAACUGGUGCAGUCAAUUUCUCACCUUCUGGAGAACCGCGAUGUCCUUAAUUGGGUGCCGCGGGGAACCAGGACCUUUACUUUGAAAAAAUUAGAGUGUUUAAAGCAGGCAUUUUUGCUUGAAUACAUUAGCAUGGAAUAAUAAAAUAGGACGGCAUGGUUCUAUUUUGUUGGCUUCUAGGACCACCGUAAUGAUUAAUAGGGAUAGUUGGGGGCAUUAGUAUUCAAUUGUCAGAGGUGAAAUUCUUGGAUUUAUUGAAGACUAACUACUGCGAAAGCAUUUGCCAAGGAUGUUUUCAUUAAUCAAGAACGAAAGUUAGGGGAUCGAAGACGAUCAGAUACC
rnacentral:rRNA from 1 species